UGAAACAUGAGGUUUCAAUGUAUGAAUUCUGGGAGAAGGCAAACAUGCAGUCUGAAAAGCAGGAAGUAAGAAGAUGGAACUUUGCUAGGGGAAAGAACAUGAGCAGAAACAGAGGCAUGAGUGAGUAAUGGCAAGUUAGGAGGUGAGGCCAAUCAGUUCCACUGCUGUGGCCUGACAGUGACAGGAGUCGAUGGUAGGGGAUGUGUUUGGAUUUCUACGACUUAAGGAGCAGGAUAAAUCGGCCACCCAUUCUUUCACCUACCUGAGCCUGUUCAGAUUUCCUCUUUAUAAUGACUGUGUGCUGACCUUACCCUUCAGAAGAAUUUUUAAAAUCAACUAUAGUGGGGUGCUCUCUUUUGGAAUGGACAUUUUAAAUAUAAUCACCUGCAGUUGGCAUUCAUUUAAUAAAAUCUCUCCUCCUCGCUGGAUACGCAACGGCAUGUCUUACAGAAGUCAUACGUUAGGUUAAUAAAGCAAUUAUUUAAUUGACUUUAAUUUCAUUGGCAUUCCUAUUAGCUGAAGGAAAGGGGUUCAAUCACUGUUUACAUUUGUAAAGCCAAUAUUAUGGUUCAAAUUAUGGCCUUCGGAUGAAUUUGAAAAUUGAAGCCUGAUAAUCCUUAAAGCAAUAUUUACAGAGGACUCUUUGUCUUUGUAAAGAAUAAAGGGAAUGGAAACAAGAGCACAUUAAAUCAGAGGGGCUUUUAAAUAUUCAUUUUGCAAUCAGCUUCACCAGU
rnacentral:lncRNA from 1 species